rnacentral:rRNA from 1 species
GACGUAGGGCGCGAGCGUUGUCCGGAUUUACUGGGCGUAAAGGGCGCGUAGGCGGCCAGCACAAGUCAGUUGUGAAAUCUCCGAGCUUAACUCGGAAAGGUCAACUGAUACUGUGCGGCUAGAGUGCGGAAGGGGCAACUGGAAUUCUUGGUGUAGCGGUGAAAUGCGUAGAUAUCAAGAGGAACACCUGCGGCGAAGGCGGGUUGCUGGGCCGACACUGACGCUGAUGCGCGAAAGCCAGGGGAGCGAACGGG